rnacentral:rRNA from 1 species
UGGGGAAUAUUGCACAAUGGGCGCAAGCCUGAUGCAGCCAUGCCGCGUGUAUGAAGAAGGCCUCCGGGUUGUAAAGUACUUUCAGCGGGGAGGAAGGUGUUGUGGUUAAUAACCGCAGCAAUUGGCGUUACCCGCAGAAGAAGCACCGGCUAACUCCGUGCCAG